rnacentral:rRNA from 1 species
CUACCCUUGACAUGCCACUAACGAAGCAGAGAUGCAUUAGGUGCUCGAAAGAGAAAGUGGACACAGGUGCUGCAUGGCUGUCGUCAGCUCGUGUCGUGAGAUGUUGGGUUAAGUCCCGCAACGAGCGCAACCCUUGUCUCUAGUUGCUACGAAAGGGCACUCUAGAGAGACUGCCGGUGACAAACCGGAGGAAGGUGGGGAUGACGUCAAGUCCUCAUGGCCCUUAUGGGUAGGGCUUCACACGUCAUACAAUGGUGCGUACAGAGGGUUGCCAACCCGCGAGGGGGAGCUAAUCCCAGAAAACGCAUCGCAGUCCGGAUCGUAGUCUGCAACUCGACUACGUGAAGCUGGAAUCGCUAGUAAUCGCGGAUCAGCAUGCCGCGGUGAAUACGUUCC